rnacentral:tmRNA from 1 species
GGGGGUGUCGGGUUUCGACAGGUAGUCAGAUUGAAGAAUUGCAGGUCGAGGUGUCGGUACGCACUCUCGUUAAACAACCGACAAAACAUUAGUUGCCAAACCAGCAACCAAUAACUUCGCUCUCGCUGCCUAAGAAGUAGCGACACGACGUCUACCCAACUUUCCCUCAUGGGGUUGGGAUCCAGGCGCCAUAAACAUGAGGUGCUAUGACGACGACCGUCUACUAAUCGUCAUAAAAGACUAGUGGGCCAGCGCGAAGGUAUCCUGUCGGUGGGAGACCAAAGCGUCCAAGAAAACAUCGACUAAGCCUGUAGUACAUUCCUCGGUAGGACUAUUUGGACGGGGAGUUCAACUCUCCCCCAUCUCCACCA